rnacentral:rRNA from 1 species
UUAGAUACCCUGGUAGUCCACGCUGUAAACGAUGGAUACUAGGUGUGGGGGGACUGACCCCCUCCGUGCCGCAGUUAACACAAUAAGUAUCCCACCUGGGGAGUACGAUCGCAAGGUUGAAACUCAAAGGAAUUGACGGGGGCCCGCACAAGCGGUGGAGUAUGUGGUUUAAUUCGAAGCAACGCGAAGAACCUUACCAGGGCUUGACAUCCCACGGACAGAUGUAGAGAUACAUCCUUCCCUUCGGGGACUGUGGUGACAGGUGGUGCAUGGUUGUCGUCAGCUCGUGUCGUGAGAUGUUGGGUUAAGUCCCGCAACGAGCGCAACCCUUAUUGUUAGUUGCUACGCAAGAGCACUCUAGCGAGACUGCCGUUGACAAAACGGAGGAAGGUGGGGACGACGUCAAAUCAUCAUGCCCCUUAUGUCCUGNGCCACACACGUACUACAAUGGUGGUCAACAGAGGGAAGCAAUACCGCGAGGUGGAGCAAAUCCCUAAAAGCCAUCCCAGUUCGGAUCGCANGCUGCAACCCGCCUGCGUGAAGUUGGAAUCGCUAGUAAUCGCGGAUCAGCAUGCCGCGGUGAAUACGUUUCCGGGCCUUGUACACACCCGCCGUCACACCAUGANAAUCGGGAACACCGAAAUCCGUACCCUACAGCAAAUGGGGCGCCGGCGAAAGUUGGGUCGAUAAUUGGGGUGAAUCCUAAAAGGGUAGCCCGAAUCCCACAACUUGCGGCCGUACUAAUGAAUCCAACCUCGUACCAACCUUGCGUAACCUGGCACAACCUGUUCCUGGGAAAAAUGUUACCCUUCAAAUCCC